UAGAGGAAGUAAAAGUCGUAACAAGGUUUCCGUAGGUGAACCUGCGGAAGGAUCAUUAAAGAGAUAGGGUCUUCAUGGCCCGACCUCCAACCCUCUGUUGUUAAAACUACCUUGUUGCUUUGGCGGGACCGUCUCGGUCUCCGAGCGCACUAACCCUCGGGUUGGUGAGCGCCCGCCAGAGUCCAACCAAACUCUUGUAUUAAACCAGUCGUCUGAGUAUAAAAUUUUAAUUAAAUUAAAACUUUCAACAACGGAUCUCUUGGUUCUCGCAUCGAUGAAGAACGCAGCGAAAUGCGAUAAGUAAUGUGAAUUGCAGAAUUCAGUGAAUCAUCGAAUCUUUGAACGCACAUUGCGCCCCUUGGUAUUCCGAGGGGCAUGCCUGUUCGAGCGUCAUUACACCACUCAAGCAUCGCUUGGUAUUGGGAACGGUCCGUCGCAAGGCGGGCCUUCCUCGAAGACCUCGGCGGGGUUCAACCAACUUCGGGCGUAGUAGAGUUAAAUCGAACGUCUUAUAAGCUUGGUCGGAUCUCAUUGCCGUUAAACCUUUAAAUUUCUAGGUGACCUCGGAUCAGGU
rnacentral:misc_RNA from 1 species